rnacentral:rRNA from 1 species
GUAACAGAGGGUUUGAUCCUGGCUCAGAUUGAACGCUGGCGGGAUGCUUUGGCACAUGCAAGUCGAACGGCAGCACGGACUUCGGUCUGGUGGCGAGUGGCGAACGGGUGAGUAAUGUAUCGAACGUGCCUAGUAGCGGGGGGAUAACUACGCUGAAAGCGGCUAAUACCGCAUACGCCUCGGGGAAAGCGGGGGACCUUCGGGCCUCGCACUAUUAGAGCGGCCGAUAUCGGAUUAGCUAGUUGCGGGGUAACGGCUCACCAAGGCGACGAUCCGCAGCUGGUUUGAGAGGACGACCAGCCACACUGGGACUGAGACACGGCCCAGACUCCUAUACGGGAGGCAGCAGGGGAAUUCCUUGGACACGGGGGAAACCCUGAUCCAGCCAUCCAGCGUGCGAUGAAGGCCUUCGGUUAGUGUGUGCCACCUUUGGCAGGAAGAAACGGCACGGGAUAACACCGUGCAACUGGACGGUACCUGCAGAAUAAGCACCGGCUAACUACGUGCCAGCAGCCGCGGUAAUACGUAGGGUGCAAGCGUUAAUCGGAAUUACUGGGCGUAAAGCGUGCGCAGGCGGUUCGAAAGAAAGAUGUGAAAUCCCAGAGCUUAACUUUGGAACUGCAUUUUUAACUACCGAGCUAGAGUGUGUCAGAGGGAGGUGGAAUUCCGCGUAGCAGUGAAAUGCGUAGAUAUGCGGAGGAACACCGAUGGCGAAGGCAGCCUCCUGGGAUAACACUGACGCUCAUGCACGAAAGAGUGAGCAACAGGAUUAGAUACCCUGGUAGUCCACGCCUUAAACGAUGUCAACUAGCUGUUGGGGCCUUUGGCCUUGCAGCGCAGCCAACGCGUGAAGUUGACCGCCUGGGGAGUACGGUCGCAAGAUUAAAACUCAGCGAAUUGACGGGACCCGCACAAGCGGUGGAUGAUGUGGAUUAAUUCGAUGCAACGCGAAAAACCUUACCUACCCUUGACAUGUCUGGAAUCCCGAAGAGAUUUGGGAGUGCUCGCAAGAGAACCGGAACACAGGUGCUGCAUGGCUGUCGUCAGCUCGUGUCGUGAGAUGCUGGGUUAAGUCCCGCAACGAGCGCAACCCUUGUCAUUAGUUGCUACUGAAAGCGGCACUCUAGAGACUGCCGGUGACAAACCGGAGGAAGGUGGAUGACGUCAAGUCCUCAUGGCCCCUAUGGGUAGGGCUUCACACGUCAUACAAUGGUCGGGACAGAGGGUCGCCAACCCGCGAGGUGGGAGCCAAUCCCAGAAACCCGAUCGUAGUCCGGAUCGCAGUCUGCAACUCGACUGCGUGAAGUCGGAAUCGCUAGUAAUCGCGGAUCAGCAUGUCGCAGGAAUAUUCCCGGGUCUUGUACACUGCCCGUCACACCAUGGGAGUGGGUUUACCAGAAGUAGUUAGCCUAACCGUAAGGAGGGCGAUUACCACGGUAGGAUUCAUGACUGGGGUGAAGUCGUAACAAGGUAA